GAUGAACGCUGGCGGCGUGCUUAACACAUGCAAGUCGAACGGAAAGGCUCCUGCUUGCAGGGGUACUCGAGUGGCGAACGGGUGAGUAACACGUGGGUGAUCUGCCCUGCACUUCGGGAUAAGCCUGGGAAACUGGGUCUAAUACCGGAUAGGACGAUGGUUUGGAUGCCAUUGUGGAAAGUUUUUCGGUGUGGGAUGAGCUCGCGGCCUAUCAGCUUGUUGGUGGGGUAAUGGCCUACCAAGGCGUCGACGGGUAGCCGGCCUGAGAGGGUGUACGGCCACAUUGAGACUGAGAUACGGCCCAGACUCCUACGGGAGGCAGCAGUGGGGAAUAUUGCACAAUGGGCGCAAGCCUGAUGCAGCGACGCCGCGUGGGGGAUGACGGCCUUCGGGUUGUAAACUCCUUUCGCUAGGGACGAAGCGUUUUGUGACGGUACCUGGAGAAGAAGCACCGGCUAACUACGUG
rnacentral:rRNA from 1 species